rnacentral:rRNA from 1 species
CGCUGGCGGCGUGCUUUUCACAUGCAAGUCGAACGAUGAAGCCGCUUCGGUGGUGGAUUAGUGGCGAACGGGUGAGUAACACGUGGGCAAUCUGCCCUGCACUCUGGGACAAGCCCUGGAAACGGGGUCUAAUACCGGAUAUGACACGGGAUCGCAUGGUCUCCGUGUGGAAAGCUCCGGCGGUGCAGGAUGAGCCCGCGGCCUAUCAGCUUGUUGGUGGGGUGAUGGCCUACCAAGGCGACGACGGGUAGCCGGCCUGAGAGGGCGACCGGCCACACUGGGACUGAGACACGGCCCAGACUCCUACGGGAGGCAGCAGUGGGGAAUAUUGCACAAUGGGCGCAAGCCUGAUGCAGCGACGCCGCGUGAGGGAUGACGGCCUUCGGGUUGUAAACCUCUUUCAGCAGGGAAGAAGCGCGAGUGACGGUACCUGCAGAAGAAGCACCGGCUAACUACGUGCCAGCAGCCGCGGUAAUACGUAGGGUGCGAGCGUUGUCCGGAAUUAUUGGGCGUAAAGAGCUCGUAGGCGGCUUGUCGCGUCGGAUGUGAAAGCCCGGGGCUUAACCCCGGGUCUGCAUUCGAUACGGGCAGGCUAGAGUUCGGCAGGGGAGAUUGGAAUUCCUGGUGUAGCGGUGAAAUGCGCAGAUAUCAGGAGGAACACCGGUGGCGAAGGCGGAUCUCUGGGCCGAUACUGACGCUGAGGAGCGAAAGCGUGGGGAGCGAACAGGAUUAGAUACCCUGGUAGUCCACGCCGUAAACGUUGGGCACUAGGUGUGGGCGGCAUUCCACGUCGUCCGUGCCGCAGCUAACGCAUUAAGUGCCCCGCCUGGGGAGUACGGCCGCAAGGCUAAAACUCAAGGAAUUGACGGGGGGCCCGCACAAGCGGCGGAGCAUGUGGCUUACUUCGACGCAACGCGAAGAACCUUACCAAGGCUUGACAUACACCGGCG